UACGGAGGGUGCAAGCGUUGUCCGGAAUCACUGGGCGUAAAGGGCGCGUAGGCGGCUCAUGAAGGCUGUGGUGAAAGUCCGGGGCUCAACCUGGGAACUGCGCUUGAUACGGCAGAGCUAGAGGAUGGAAGAGGGUCGCGGAAUUCCCAGUGUAGAGGUGAAAUUCGUAGAUAUUGGGAAGAACACCGGUGGCGAAGGCGGCGACCUGGUCCAUUACUGACGCUGAGGCGCGACAGCGUGGGGAGCAAACAGG
rnacentral:rRNA from 1 species